UUGGAGGGCAAGUCUGGUGCCAGCAGCCGCGGUAAUUCCAGCUCCAAUAGCGUAUAUUAAAGUUGUUGCAGUUAAAAAGCUCGUAGUUGAAUUUCGGGGUUAGUAGGUUGGUCAUGCCUCUGGUAUGUACUGGUCUCACUGAUUCCUCCUUCCUGAUGAACCGUAAUGCCAUUAAUUUGGUGUUGCGGGGAGUCUGGACUGUUACUUUGAAAAAAUUAGAGUGUUUAAAGCAGGCUAACGCUUGAAUACAUUAGCAUGGAAUAACGAAAUAGGACGUUCGAUCUUAUUUUGUUGGUUUCUAGGAUUGACGUAAUGAUUAAUAGGGAUAGUUGGGGGCAUUAGUAUUCAAUUGUCAGAGGUGAAAUUCUUGGAUUUAUUGAAGACUAACUACUGCGAAAGCAUUUGCCAAGGAUGUUUUCAUUAAUCAAGAACGAAAGUUAGGGGAUCGAAGACGAUCAGAUACCGUCGUAGUCUUAACCAUAAACUAUGCCGACUAGGGAUCGGAUGAUGUUAAUUUUAUAAUGACUCAUUCGGCGCCUUACGGGAAAC
rnacentral:rRNA from 1 species